CGGCAGGCCUAACACAUGCAAGUCGAACGGUAACAGGAAGAAUCUUGCUUCUUUGCUGACGAGUGGCGGACGGGUGAGUAAUGUCUGGGAAACUGCCUGAUGGAGGGGGAUAACUACUGGAAACGGUAGCUAAUACCGCAUAACGUCGCAAGACCAAAGAGGGGGACCUUCGGGCCUCUUGCCAUCGGAUGUGCCCAGAUGGGAUUAGCUAGUAGGUGGGGUAACGGCUCACCUAGGCGACGAUCCCUAGCUGGUCUGAGAGGAUGACCAGCCACACUGGAACUGAGACACGGUCCAGACUCCUACGGGAGGCAGCAGUGGGGAAUAUUGCACAAUGGGCGCAAGCCUGAUGCAGCCAUGCCGCGUGUAUGAAGAAGGCCUUCGGGUUGUAAAGUACUUUCAGCGGGGAGGAAGGGAGUGAAGUUAAUACCUUUGCUCAUUGACGUUACCCGCAGAAGAAGCACCGGCUAACUCCGUGCCAUCAGCCGCGGUAAUACGGAGGGUGCAAGCGUUAAUCGGAAUUACUGGGCGUAAAGCGCACGCAGGCGGUUUGUUAAGUCAGAUGUGAAAUCCCCGGGCUCAACCUGGCAACUGCAUCUGAUACUGACAGGCUUGAGUCUCGGAGAGAGGGGAAAAAUUCCAGGUGUAGCGGUGAAAUGCGUAGAGAUCUGGAGGAAUACUCGGCGGCGAAGGCGGUCCCCCUGGACGAAGACUGACGCUCAGGUGCGAAAGCGUGGGGAGCAAACAGGAUUAGAUACCCUGGUAGUCCACGCCGUAAACGAUGUCGACUUGGAGGUUGUGCCCUUGAGGCGUGGCUUCCGGAGCUAACGCGUUAAGUCGACCGCCUGGGGAGUACGGCCGCAAGGUUAAAACUCAAAUGAAUUGACGGGGGCCCGCACAAGCGGUGGAGCAUGUGGUUUAAUUCAAUGCAACGCGAAGAACCUUACCUGGUCUUGACAUCCACGGAAGUUUUCAGAGAUGAGAAUGUGCCUUCGGGAACCGUGAGACAGGUGCUGCAUGGCUGUCGUCAGCUCGUGUUGUGAAAUGUUGGGUUAAGUCCCGCAACGAGCGCAACCCUUAUCCUUUGUUGCCAGCGGUCCGGCCGGGAACUCAAAGGAGACUGCCAGUGAUAAACUGGAGGAAGGUGGGGAUGACGUCAAGUCAUCAUGGCCCUUACGACCAGGGCUACACACGUGCUACAAUGGCGCAUACAAAGAGAAGCGACCUCGCGAGAGCAAGCGGACCUCAUAAAGUGCGUCGUAGUCCGGAUUGGAGUCUGCAACUCGACUCCAUGAAGUCGGAAUCGCUAGUAAUCGUGGAUCAGAAUGCCACGGUGAAUACGUUCCCGGGCCUUGUACACACCGCCCGUCACACCAUGGGAGUGGGUUGCAAAAGAAGUAGGUAGCUUAACCUUCGGGAGGGCGCUUACCACUUUGUGAUUCAUGACUGG
rnacentral:rRNA from 1 species